UAAGGAGGGUGCGAGCGUUAUUCGGAAUUACUGGGCGUAAAGCGCGUGCAGGCGGGAGAGUGGGUCUGAUGUGGAAAUCCGGGGCUUAACCCCCGAAGAGAAUUGGAACCUGCUUUUCUUGAGUAUCGGAGAGGAAGGGGUAAUUCCCGGUGUAGAGGGUAAAGUCGUAGAGAUCGGGAGGAACCCCAGUGGCGACGGCGCCCCUCUGGACGACAACUGACGCCGAGAAGCCACAGCGUGGGGAGCAAACAGG
rnacentral:rRNA from 1 species